GGCCCGGGACCCGCCGAGACUGCUUCCGCCAAACCGGCGAACCAGCCAGGCGGCAACUCCGAUCAACGCAAGAACGAUGACGAAGGCGAUGAAGAACCAAAGCGUUUGCGGCAUGUCCUGUCCCCGUCAACAACACUCGCAUCUAUGCCAGAUUCGCAGGUCACUGGCCGCGAAACAAGCAGUUUGGGACGAAUUGAGUGCUAAGUGCGCGCUACCGGUUAAUUCUUGACGGCAAAUGCUGCCGCCGGCGGAUCAGUACCCUAUUAAAGCGCGGCGGGCCGAAAUAGUUCUUCUGCCGGUACUUCAAUGACUUGUCCGUUG
rnacentral:misc_RNA from 1 species